AACGCGAAGAACCUUACCAGGCCUUGACAUCCCGGUGACAGAGCAUGUGAUGUGCUUUCCCUUCGGGGCAGCGGGGACAGGUGGUGCAUGGUUGUCGUCAGCUCGUGUCGUGAGAUGUUGGGUUAAGUCCCGCAACGAGCGCAACCCCUGUCCCCAGUAGCCAGCGCGUAAAGGCGGGCACUCUGCGGGGACUGCCGGGGACAACCCGGAGGAGGGCGGGGACGACGUCAAAUCAUCAUGCCCCUUAUGGCCUGGGCGAUACACGUGCUACAAUGGCGCCGGACAGAGGGAUGCGAAGCCGCGAGGCGGAGCGAACCCCAGAAACGGCGUCCCAGUUCGGACUGCAGCCUGCAACCCGGCUGCACGAAGCCGGAAUCGCUAGUAAUCGCGGAUCAGAAUGCCGCGGUGAAUACGUUCCCGGGUCUUGUACACACGCA
rnacentral:rRNA from 1 species